UUAAUAAUAACUUUGAGUUUACAUAUAUUAUUAGUUUAGACAAACUGUAUCAUUAAAUACAUACACAAACACAUGCAUAAAGUGAGAAUUAUUAAUACAAAACAAAAAUUAAUAAAUGCUUAAAUAAAUGGCAACUAAUUUUUAAGUGUGAUUACAACAACAUUUUUAAUUACAUCAACAAAUGUUUUUAUUUAGAUUUUAAACUGUUUUUAUUAAUUUUUUAUAAAAAAAUAUUAUUCACCGUUUAUAACCAAAUUAUAGUUUGGUGUUAUGAAUUGUCAUAAUCAUCAAAUUCAUUGGCAAACAUCAUCAUUAUUAACAUUAGACAGUUUGCAUAUAAUUCAUUGCAUAUAUUCAACGGAAUCGUUAUCUUUUAAAUACUUUCAAAAACUUGAAUUACGACUAAUUAGUAAAAUAAGAAAACGUUUUAAAUAGUGUGUCAACUAAUAUAUAUAUAUAUAUAUAAUAU